CCCAGGGUCUCCGUCCUCAGGUAGUACUAAUUAUGUAUGAAAAUGACUUCUGAGUCCAUCUAUCAUUGCUCCUGAUUGCAUUCAGUUACUGACCAUCUUGUUUCUCAUCGCCUAGGUGAACUCUGCACUGUGGUGUUCCUCCAUCUCAAUGUGGAGGUGAUGGACGUUUCUGCUCUGCUGUUGGAUCAUGCGUUUGGUUUGCUUUGUGUGCCUGCUUGGAUUGGUAUUAGACUUAUUAGGUAUGAGCUUAUGGUGCCUCUCACCUUUUAUUAUAUUCUGGAUUUCAAAUAAGAGACGGACAGGUUUGUCCCUGCUUAAACAGACCUGGACGGUGCGUGUGCGUGUCGUUUGAGAUUGGAGCGGCUUUUUACUGUGGAUGCCUGUGUGCAUCCACCAAACUGUAUUAUUGUGUGUGGCUUUGAUGAAUGCUUGCUAUGCGUGUGUGUCUGUGUGGUUACAGCUGCCUAUGUUGCUUCUGAGUGUGUGACUUGUUUGAGAGUGUUUCCCAUGUAUCUGAACUGAACCAAGAAACAGCUCGGCUGGUUGUGUGUGUGCUUGUGCAUGCAUUGACCUGCUAGCUGCCCGUGUGUUUUGUUUG
rnacentral:lncRNA from 1 species